rnacentral:lncRNA from 1 species
CCUUUGUCUCCUCUGGACUCCGGGUUCCUGCCGGGUGGUGUAGGGCUGGUUUCCCCAACAUCUGGUGCCGAAUGCAGGGCUCCCCGUAAUCUCUACAAAUAAUCUGGUGAAGGAACGCCAGAGCGUGGAAAGUGGAGGAGGACUGAGGAAGGAAGCCUGAGUACGUUUUCACUUCAAGCUCUACGGGAGGAUUGAGUACUCCAGGGGGAGUGAAUGUGAUGGGUUAUGCCUAAGGCUGAAUGAAAGCUGCUGGGUUGCUUUAGCUGUGAAAGUGGUCCAUUAUCACUCUUCAGACUUUCAGGGGGACUGACUUGUGAGUAUCUCAGGAUACAGGAAGAGAAG